CUCGCAGUAUCCUUAUAAAUCUGAGACUCUUACAUGCUUAGCUCAAAUCAUUCUCCCAUGCCUUGUUCUUCAUCUCGCUCCUCAUCCGGAUGUGUUGAAGGUGGAGCUCCACGAUGACAAGGAUGAGGGAAGAAGGUAACGAGAGUAGUUUUCAGCCAUCAAGGUAAAAGCUUUGUUCACCUCGCCAUUCUUUUCUUGACCUUCGAACCACGUAAGCUAUGUUUUCGUGCAUGAACUUUAACGUGAUUUUGUAUCAUAGCUGGGAUCGAUUUGAUAUCCAUGGAAAUGAGCCAGUUGAGAUAUAGUGUUUCGUAAAUUAGAAUUAAGAGAUCGAAGAGGUUAGGAGAUGAGAUUGUGAGUGGAGUGAGGAGUACAAUUUAUUUUGUUAUUAUGAAUUAUUAAGGUAAUUGAUUGUUUAUUUUCUUUUAUCAAUGAUUUAUUUUUCCUUUUUUGUGGGAAUUGAGAAGAAAUAAUCCCAGCAAGUCUCAUUGAUGGCAGAGAAUUGAGGAUUUCCGAGAAGGAACUAAUUAUCGAGUGGGUGUCGUGAGACCACAUCGCACCUCCUUCAGGCAUAUUUGGUCAAACCAUAUCUUCGCAUGACUUUGACCAGUUCAACUUAAAUAGUCAAUUUGCAAUUUCUGGGUCUUAUUUUAGUUGGUCAACCAGCUGCCUUCACACAUAGGCAUGGAAUCAACUAUCAAUCAUAGCUUAUUGUUUAUCUCUUAUUCGCAGAUCUACUAAUAAAGUCAAAUUUGUAGUUGAGUCGAGCCUUUAUUAUUGUUUUCCUCCAACCAAUCAUCACCUAAAAGUGACGUAUAAUACAUUUUGUCACCAAUCCCAUCGUUUGGUAAAUAAAAAACAAAAGAAAAUUCAUCCUUAUUCUUAGACCUCAGGAUGAGAAGAGAAAACCUUCAACCGAAGACUCCUCAAUGUAUCUGUGCAUUUGAGGAAGCUGAAAACAUGAGAAUCAAGCACUGGGGUUCUCCUCGGCACUCUGCACGUAAUAGUACGUGGUCAUGGCAUCAGCAUCCUUUUUCUUCUCCCGGUCUCCUUUCUUGGCCUCCUCCUCCUUCUUCUCCGGAUCUGUUGCCGGCCCGACCAUCUCGGCGCACCAGUGUUUCCUCACAGCUUGCCCACCACACUCAUGGGGUCAACGAUCUCGUUCUUCGUGUCCAUGGAUACAAAAUCACGAAGAGGAAGAUUACGAGACACAAAGAGAAAGAGGUCUGAUUGAUCACCUUGAAGGCUGGAAACUGCUCUCAUUGCCACCUUCUUGUCCUUGUUAUCGUGGACGUCCACUUUCACCACAACCUUCUGCAAUCACACCGAGGAAUACAACUGUUAGAGAUCCAAGGAAAAGAACACAAGGAACUGGUAAUUGUUGCUGUAGCAGCAAACUUUCUUCUUUAAUGUAUUAGAAUUGGAACUUACCUUCAUGUCAGCUGACAUCUUCUUCAAGAACGAGAGGCGUGGAUGAAGGAAUGCUACCACAGUAAUGAUACGAGAUUUGAUUUGGAUUGCAACGAAAGUGUCACGUCGGAGUUGACGACGUCCAUCGGAACCGCGUGGCAGAUGACCUUUCAAAGUCCGGUUCCAGAAAACGACGAAGGAUUCGUAGCAGUUUCCGCACGGCUUCCUCGCAACUUCCUAAGACCCUCUAUUAUAUUUACGUAAAUUUCCGUCUCUAGCAACACCUCAUCCCACGCCUCCUUCCUCGUCUCAACACUCGGCGGAGAGGGCUAAAAGAUGGCCGCGGACAUGAAGAGAAUUGUGGUGAGAGUGGGACUCCAGGGUGACAAGGAUAAGAUCAAGGCAAUGAAAGCAGUUUGCAGUAUUGAAAAGGUUGCUUCAGUAUCAGCGGACAUGAAGCAGAAGAAGCUCACCGUAAUUGGGUUCGUUGACCCCAUUGUUGUGGUGAUCAAGUUGAGGAAAUCCUGGUGCACCGAAAUACUCCUCAUCGGCCUGGCAAAUGAACCGGAAAGAGGAAGGACGGAGCAAAGAAGGGAGAGGCGGAGAAGAAAAGAGCUGUUAAUGAACAGAUCGCCGAGCUUACGGCGGCAUAACAAGAAUAUUAGAGGGCUCAUCCUCCUCAUAAGCCAAUCGAAGCUUACAGACAAUUCUUUGGAUACGGUGUAGAAAUCAAAAAGAUAUCCCUCUUGCCUUCGGCUGACUCCCAAGCGCUAACAAGUCUAAAAGGAGUACUCGUCGUUGGAAUAAAUACUAUGCUCAGAUUGUAUGUUAAAUGAGCCGAUUGGGAGUCGAUUAAAUAAGUUUUGUACUACCAUAUUGCGUAAGGGGGCAAGAAAAGAUUCAAAGAACAGCAAAAUAAAUCUGUUUUGUAGCAUACGAGAAAUAGUUGUCUGUAUCACCUGUUCAUUCAAAUCCAAAGCUCCCGAGUGAUACAUCCA